GGAGAUAUAGCUCAGUUGGUAAAGUGCUUGAAUCGAAUGCACAAAACCCUGGGUUCAAUUCCCAGCACCACCA
rnacentral:tRNA from 1 species